GGUGGUUCUCGAGUGAUGCCCACCGGAAUAGGGCUUCCUUCUCUCUGGUUCCGGGUGCGUCACCCGAGAACCACA
rfam:Myotis davidii contig22543, whole genome shotgun sequence.